UAUAAAUCUAUACAAAAAUUACUAUUUCGAUUGGUGGCUUUCCUCACGUGUAUGAGGUGAAUCCAUCAAUACAUGGUACUCGAACUAUAUUUGGUAGUGAAUCCAUGUACUCAUCCGAGGUUGGUGGUUGUCUCAAACCUCUGACACGUAGAGCUUACGGUCGAGAUCGAGUUCCUCACAUUAAGAUCUAUCUAUCUUUUUCGAGGGAAAUCUCAUUCCAGUCACACGACGUUAUCCAUCUCCCAAAACAUACUGGCAACUUUUCAUACUUCAUGCACCGGAUUGAUGUGUGCUUAGAAUCCACGUUAUCUCGCUCGCCACAAUUGCUCCCAACUUCAGUACGAUUCAUUUCCCCUAUAAAUCUCCUCCGGUUUCUGUGAUCACCGUGCCGCGCCACAGUUUACCGGAUCGAUGAAGCCCGGAAGUCUCCUCUCCCCCCUUCUCCUCGUCCUCUUGUUUCAAGCUUGUCGGUCUGCGUCCAACCAAACCACACUCGGUGGAGCAGACGAGGCUCGCCGACUGCCUCGACUCGACCAGAGCCAGCCGGCUCCAGGUGGCCUCAAUGCGACCGUCGUCUCGAGGGCGGGGAAUGGGGAGUUGGACGCCAUGAGGAGCACGACCCACUCGAAGGGUGGCGGCAGCGGUGGCGGCAGCGGUAGCGGUAGCGGCGCGGGAAAAGGAGGAGGGAAGGGCGUCGGGAGCGGGAAGGGCGAGGGCGGCGGGUCGCAGUCGGUCCGUCAGCCGCGCGACCCGCGAAGCAGCGGGGCGUCCAGGCGGCGGCCGUGCUCGUCUCUCGCGCGGCUCCUCCUCCGUCUGCACCUGCUCUGCCUCCUGCUUUGGUGGUGGUGGCGGUGGUGAAGAAGAAGAAGAAGGCGGAGGAUAGUGAUGAGUUGGUGAUGGUCGAUGCCAUCAAAGAACAACUGGCUGAUGUUUUUUGCUAUCGUUUCCUGACGGCUCGUCCGUCCGUCAUGACAAACAGAAAAUGGACAGAUUCGUGUU